GAAAUACCAACUCUUCCUCAAGACAUCAUCAUUGAAAUUCUCAUCAGGUUACCUCUCAAAACUCUCUUGAAAUUCAGGUCUGUUUCCAAAUCAUGGCUUUAUUUACUCUCAGAUGCACAAUUCCAUAAAACCCAUAUCAGUUUUUCUACGAACAAUCCCAAAUUUACCGACUACACCCUUGCUGCUAUACCCACUCUUUCUGGUUUGGGCAAAAUUUGUCAUGUCUACACUAUAAGCUCUGAAAAUUCAUCUGUUAUUGUGUCUAAACAUGGGUGUCCUUCUAAGACUCUGUCUCUCUCGGCUUGGAUUUUGGGGUCUUGUAAUGGGUUAAUUUGCUUAACUUCUGAUUCCUUUAAUUUAAUGUUAUUGAACCCGUGUACUGGAAAGUUUAGUUUAUUUCCUGAUUUGAUGAUUGAGUAUGAAGUUGGUGAUGGUGGUGUGCAUAUUCGAUAUGGGUUUGGUUAUGACGCAUCUACGGAUGAUUAUAAGGUUGUUAAGAUGUUUAGUUUUCCUCGAAUCGAUAAUGAGGGAAGACAUGUUAAUAUGGUUAGUGUUUAUAGCUUAAAGGGUAGUUCUUGGUCAAGUAUUCAGGGUUUUGAUAGUGGUCAUGUAAA
rnacentral:misc_RNA from 1 species